GAAGAGGCGCCCGGCCGGGCUAAAGUUGAGGAGAAGCCGUUGAGGGGGGUGGAGGGGGAGGCGGCGCGAAACCGCCGGGCGCUGAGAAGACCCCGCUGCCCCGGGCGGGGCGGCCCUACCCUACCCUGCCCUUCCCUUCCCGGCGAGUUUAAAGCCGCGGCGGCGCCUCCUCCGUCCGCAGCCACCUUUCGCCGCCCUGCCCGGAGGGGAACGGCGGCUCUCGGGGCCAGAGCGUGGGGAAGCGGCCCCGGGGUUCCUUUCCCUCAGGGAGUCUCCGCAACCCGGCCCCGCUAUGGCCGCCAGCUCUGCUGUGUGAAAGACAGAAUCCAGCCCAGAACCACCGAGGAACAUCGGAUGAAGCUGUGCUUUGACCCUCUGGAGAAAGAGCUUCCACCUAUGGAUGAGGACAGAGCAGACCUUAAUUUCCAGCACAGUUAUUUUGGAGGACUGGCAAAGCCUGCUGCAAAGGUCUGAUACUGCUGGACUGAACAGGAGACAUCAUCCCUCUGCUCACAAAACCGUAAACCUGCUGUGACUGGAAGAUGAGGAAUGGGGUGUUCCUGCUGGUGACUCUGAAGAGGUUUUCUUUCACUUACAGAGGCAAGAGCAUAUAUAUGUCCUGUUACAUUGAUUUUUAUCCACCAAGACUUUGAGAAAUCUAUCACGCUCUUCAUUUGUCUUGCUUGCGCAGUUCUGUCAAUUUUUUAUGGUUCUAAGGCUAACUUGAAAAGACCCAUGAAAGCCUCUGCCACCUUUAAAAGUCUUAGAAUUAGAGAAAGAAAGAUUUGACAGUUUAAUUUUUCUUUUCUUUUGAGAGUGGCAUCAGGAGGGAGGACGAAAAUAAA